rnacentral:rRNA from 1 species
CAGCAGCCGCGGUAAUACAGAGGGUGCGAGCGUUAAUCGGAAUUACUGGGCGUAAAGCGUGCGCAGGCGGUUUUGUAAGACAGAGGUGAAAUCCCCGGGCUCAACCUGGGAACUGCCUUUGUGACUGCAAGGCUAGAGUACGGCAGAGGGGGAUGGAAUUCCGCGUGUAGCAGUGAAAUGCGUAGAUAUGCGGAGGAACACCGAUGGCGAAGGCAAUCCCCUGGGCCUGUACUGACGCUCAUGCACGAAAGCGUGGGGAGCAAACAGGAUUAGAGACCCCCGUAGUCCCUGUCUCUUAUAC